CGGUGUUGCGCACGGCGCGGUUCCACGUGACGGUCUCGCCUGCCGUGGCGAGACCGUUGUCGUCCGCGUCGUUCCAGUCGCCGGUCACCUC
rnacentral:tRNA from 1 species